CGUAUUAUUUUUUAGCCCAUUCUUUCAUAUUGUUUGCCUAGAAUUGGGUAAGAGUCUGAAGAUAGAACUUUUUUUGGGGCAAGCUCUUAUUUUUUCUUUUGGCGCUUAUUCAUGUACAAGUUUAUUUAUCCUUUGUUAGAUUGCCUAGAAAUUGGGGGAAGGAUCUAAAAAUAGAGCCUUUUUUAAAGUGUAAUCUCUCGUACUAUUAAUUGACCAUGAAUAUGAUUCUUUUGACAUUCAUGCAUAUUUUUGUUUAAGUUACUAAAAUAUCAGUGAAUAUUAAAUUCUGAAUCCACAGUUUAGAAGGUACGAUUGAAUUCGGUGCUAAGAACUUUAAAGGUUGAAUCAUCUAGUUUAAAUUUUCAAUAUGCGUAAACUUGAGAUUUUAUCUUCAGCUUUGGGGUCCAAAGACUAGAUUUUUUUUCCUUUUUGGUUCGACGUUGCCAUACUUUAAUUCGAUCCCUACCUGUUUUGACCUUAACUUAAGCUAAUGCGGGAACCAGAGAGAUAGAGAUGGUGAAAGGGCUCAAGCCAGGGAAAAUCACAAAUCCAAGCAACCUAAGAAUGACGGAUUGACCCCUGAACAAAGACGAGAAAGGGAUGCAAAGGCACUUCAAGAAAAGGCGGCAAGGAAGGCAGCACAGGCGGCUGGUGGAGGGAAUUUUGAGAAAUCGGAAAGUUAUAAGAUCAAGAACAAAUUGUAGGGAGGUUGUUUAAUUGGAAGGAAAUUAAUCUUGUGGGUGAAUCUGGCAUUGGUUAUGGAUUCUUUAGGUCAUUGUUUAUCAUGUCAUUUCAAGUGUCUGAAACUUUUUAUUCUCAGUAGUUCUUGUCUGGCAUGUAUGUUUGGCUUUUGGACCUUUAACUUGUAUCUGAUCUUCAAUGGAAAUUCCUGUUGUGAUUAAUCUUA